rnacentral:rRNA from 1 species
AGCGAACGCUGGCGGCAGGCCUAACACAUGCCAGUCGAACGAACCUUUCGGGGUUAGUGGCGGACGGGUGAGUAACACGUGGGGACGUGCCUUUAGGUUCGGAAUAACUCAGGGAAACUUGUGCUAAUACCGAAUGUGCCCUUCGGGGGAAAGAUUUAUCGCCUUUAGAGCGGCCCGCGUCUGAUUAGCUAGUUGGUUGAGGUAAUGGCUCACCAAGGCGACGAUCAGUAGCUGGUCUGAGAGGAUGAUCAGCCACAUUGGGACUGAGACACGGCCCAAACUCCUACGGGAGGCAGCAGUGGGGAAUCUUGCGCAAUGGGCGAAAGCCUGACGCAGCCAUGCCGCGUGAAUGAUGAAGGUCUUAGGAUUGUAAAAUUCUUUCACCGGGGACGAUAAUGACGGUACCCGGAGAAGAAGCCCCGGCUAACUUCGUG